CCAGACCCGCCCUGUAAGCAGGGCAGGGCUUUUCCUGACCCCCAGCCCGCCCUGUAAGCAGGGCAGGGCUUUUCCUGACCCCCAGCCCGCCCUGUAAGCAGGGCAGGGCUUUUCCUGACCCCCAGCCCGCCCUGUAAGCAGGGCAGGGCUUUUCUGACCCCCCAGCCCGCCCUGUAAGCAGGGCAGGGCUUUUCCUGACCCCCCAGCCCGCCCUGUAAGCAGGGCAGGGCUUUUCCUGACCCCCAGCCCGCCCUGUAAGCAGGGUAGCGCUUUUCCUGACCCCCAGCCCGCCCUGUAAGCAGGGCAGGGCUUUUUCCUGACCCCCAGCCCGCCCUGUAAGCAGGGCAGGGCUUUUCCUGACCCCCAGCCCACCCUGUAAGCAGGGCAGGGCUGUUCCCCCCUGGCACCUUUGUGCCUGCUUAAGCCCCCUGGCCAGAGUGACCCCCUGUAGCUGGGGCGUGUCACGGCCUUGGUCCCUGGGCCAGUUGUGGAGCCCCUCAGUGUGCUGAGGCCCCUCUGGCCUCUGCAGAGCCCGGGGCAGGGCUGAGGCUCUGCUCUCCUGCCCAGAGGGAGGGAUGGCUCCCCACGCGUUGGCUGCACAGAGCCUGCUCCCUCUUCUGGGACGUUCCCCCCUUUGUGUUUUUGUCUUUGUCGGUGUGAGUGAGCAAGUGAGCUUGUGUUUUAUCCCCCAUAGCAAAAGUGAGGCUAGUGUAGCUUAGACUUCCCAGGAGGGAAAGAGGGGCUCUGUGCAGCAACCGGGGGGUGCCCUCUGAACCCACGGGUGGAGACAGGGCCCAGCCUUGCCCCUUCUUCCCCAGGACAGAGCGAAGCCCGUUAGUGGCGGUGCAGGCACCGUGACCCGCCUGUAGCCAGGGCCUGGGCGUGUGCCUGCGCUGCGGGGCUGCCUGUCCUGCUGGUGAUGUGCCAGCGUGAUCCCCCCCCCCCGGCCUUAGGCCGUCAGGCCACUGUUGGGAGUGCCGGGCCUCGGGGGCGGCCCUGUAAGUGGGGCUUUGUGCGUCCCCCGUGCCCGGCAGGCGGUUGGAGGGACCCCCUGUAACCAGGCGAGUGUCCCGUGGGGUCCCCACCCUUUCACAGGGCGUGGGGCUGGGCGUGUGCCCUCCCUGUCCUCGGGGGAAGGCCGAGCUCCGUGGCUCCCUGGGUGUGAACCCGCCUGUAAGCAGGGUCCGGGUCUGGGAGCCUUUGUGCUCCCUCAGCUGGCAGCCUGUGCGGGGCGACCGCCCCGUUAGCGGGGAGCGGGUCAGAUGCCCCCGAAGCGGAGAGAAGGAGCCUCCGCGGGCCUUUGGGCCCAGGGCUGCCCUGUAAGUCGGGGCCAGUGCCCUGGAGUCCCGUGCACUUUGCGCUCCAGGCAGCGGCCGGGAGCCCCCUGUAAGCAGGGGUGCAGCCUCUUUGGCCACUGCUUUGCAUGCCCAGCUGCCUUUGCCCAGAGGGCCCGGCUCCCAGCAGCGGAUGGGACUGCGUCGCUCUGAAGCCGUCGGAGAAGAAAGAAGACACAGGAGUGGAACUUCGAGGCAAGAGCGAAGAAGAGGAGCAGCAGCGUCGAGCUCAAGAGGGGGCACGACAGGGACCCUCUGGGCAAAUGCACCUCCCUGGCCCCCCCCGGGCAGGGAUCCGUAAGAGUCCAGCGGGCACCUUCAGGCUGCCCCGGCUGGCUUUGCGCUGGGCGACCUCCCUGUAAGCAGGGCUGGGUCUUUGA